rnacentral:rRNA from 1 species
AGCGAACGCUGGCGGCAGGCUUAACACAUGCAAGUCGAACGGGCAUCUUCGGAUGUCAGUGGCAGACGGUUGGGUAACACGGGGGAACGUACCCGUCGGUUCGGAAUAACUCAGGCUAACUUGAGCUAAUACCGGCUACGCUCUUUUGGGGAAACGUCUACUACCGAAGGAUUGACUCGCGUCUGAUGAUCUUGCUGUCGGGGUAACGUCCUUCCAAGGCGCCAAACAGCAGUUGGUCUGAGAGGCCCUGCCGCCACACUGGGACUAAGACGCAGCACGGACUCCUGCGGGAGGCAGCAGUGGGGAAUAUUGGACAGUCGCGGCAAGCCUGAUCCAGCCAUGCCGGGUGAGUGAUGAAGGCAUUAGGGUUGUAAAGCUCUUUUGACUGGGAAGAUAAUGACGGUACCGGAAGAAUAAGCCCCGGCUAACUUCGUG